CCAAAAUUUCCCGAUCUACUCUCAUCUCACUUCACACAUCCGCUGCCGCCAUAAAAUGUCUCUCACCGCCCACCCUCACUCGCCUUCAAGUUUCCGGCAGAUCAGGGAAUUCAAGUAAGCCGCUUAGGGUGGAAUCGAAUCGAGCCAAACUCAAGCUACAAUAAGCUAAGUUCGGCUCAUAAUCUGCGGCUUGAAGCUUAAGUUCGACUCGAGCUUGUACUAUUAGACUUGAUUCAUAUCGCUUACAUGAGCCUAAUUUCUCAUGCUCAACUUCAUUUUCGAUUAUUUUUGCUUGAACUCGAGUUUAAGCUUGAGUUGUGUUUUGUCAAUGCUAAUUAAUAAGAUGGAAAGGCCUGAUUAGGUUUUCAAGCUGGUCUCGUCAAGUAUUAGGGUAUUCGAAUUUGAUUUAUUCGAUGACUUAGCUCAACUUGAUAAUAACCAAGUUAAAUUUCGGGGUCGACGGAUUGGAGGGAAGAGUUGCCCCAAGAGUUCACCGGAUCCAUUUUUUGGUUAGAGAAAUGAA